rfam:Gossypium hirsutum cultivar TM-1 chromosome 19, whole genome shotgun sequence
AGUCCAUGCAUCGAGCAUUUCCAAAUUAAAUCUUUGAAUCGUUCACAAGCUUUAUAUAAUGUUUUAUCCUACAAUUUCCAAAAAAAUGUGAUGGCAUUUCUAAGCUU